UACAGAGGGUGCGAGCGUUAAUCGGAAUUACUGGGCGUAAAGCGCACGUAGUCGGCUUUGCAAGUCGGUUGUGAAAUCCCCGGGCUCAACCUGGGAACUGCAUCCGAGACUGCAUUGCUAGAGUAUGGGAGAGGAAAGCGGAAUUUCUGGUGUAGCAGUGAAAUGCGUAGAUAUCAGAAGGAACACCGGUGGCGAAAGCGGUUUCCUGGCCGAGUACUGACGCUGAGGCACGAAAGCGUGGGGAGCAAACAGG
rnacentral:rRNA from 1 species